AUUGAGAGUUUGAUCCUGGCUCAGGACGAACGCUGGCGGCGUGCUUAACACAUGCAAGUCGAGCGAUGAAGCUCCUUCGGGAGUGGAUUAGCGGCGGACGGGUGAGUAACAC
rnacentral:rRNA from 1 species